UUAAACUGAAGAGUUUGAUCAUGGCUCAGAUUGAACGCUGGCGGCAGGCCUAACACAUGCAAGUCGAGCGGAAACGAUGGGAGCUUGCUCCCAGGCGUCGAGCGGCGGACGGGUGAGUAAUGCAUGGGAA
rnacentral:rRNA from 1 species